rnacentral:rRNA from 1 species
GACGAACGCUGGCGGCGUGCUUAACACAUGCAAGUCGAACGGUGAAGCGCCUUCCUUUUUGGUGGGUGUGGAUGAGUGGCGAACUGGUGAGUAACACGUGAGUAACCUGCCCCCUUCUUCUGGAUAACCGCAUGAAAGUGUGGCUAAUACGGGAUAUUCUGGGUCUGUCGCAUGAUGGGUCUGUGAAAGAUAUUGUUUCGGUGGGGGAUGGGCUCGCGGCCUAUCAGCUUGUUGGUGGGGUGAUGGCCUACCAAGGCUGUGACGGGUAGCCGGCCUGAGAGGGUGGACGGUCACACUGGGACUGAGACACGGUUCAGACUCCUACGGGAGGCAGCAGGGGGGAAUAUUGAACAAUGGGCGCAAGCCUGAUGCAGCGACGCCGCGUGAGGGAUGGAGGCCUGCGGGUUGUGAACCUCUUUCGCCAGUGAAGCAGGCCUGCCUCGUAUGUGGGUGGGUUGACGGUAGCUGGAAAAGAAGCGCCGGCUAACUACGUG